rnacentral:rRNA from 1 species
CCUACGGGGGGCAGCAGUGAGGAAUUUUGGACAAUGGGCGCAAGCCUGAUCCAGCUAUUCCGCGUGUGGGAUGACGGCCCUCGGGUUGUAAACCACUUUAGUAGAGAACGAAAAGGAGCUAUCGAAUAAAUAGCUCUGCUGACGGUACUCUAAGAAUAAGCACCGGCUAACUACGUGCCAGCAGCCGCGGUAAUACGUAGGGUGCGAGCGUUAUCCGGAUUUAUUGGGUUUAAAGGGUGCGUAGGCGGGCUUUUAAGUCAGCGGUAAAAAUUCGGGGCUCAACCCCGUCCGGCCGUUGAAACUGG